GGCAUAUCCAACAAUCUUAUCCGUGGAUACAACUCCUUUGAGUUUAGGCAGAAGCGGAUGCUGAAAUGAAUUGAGUAGGUCACGCUCGAGGUAAAUUCUUCUGUAUUCACUGUUGUUCGUACUGGCUUUGUUCUUCUUAAUUGAAUCCCUCAAAAUAGUUUUGAGAGCAAGCAACUCACCGUCUUCCCUCUGAACCAAAAAUACCACU
rnacentral:misc_RNA from 1 species